rnacentral:snRNA from 1 species
AUCGCUUCUCGGUCUUUUGGCUAAGAUCAAGUGUAGUAUCUGUUCUUAUCAGUUUAAAUUUGAGAGACAGAACACUUUCAUGCUCGAGUGAGGGAGGGUUAGGGAAAGGGAGAUAGGACCCAAA